rnacentral:rRNA from 1 species
GUCGAGCGGAUGAGAAGAGCUUGCUCUUCGAUUCAGCGGCGGACGGGUGAGUAAUGCCUAGGAAUCUGCCUGGUAGUGGGGGACAACGUUUCGAAAGGAACGCUAAUACCGCAUACGUCCUACGGGAGAAAGCAGGGGACCUUCGGGCCUUGCGCUAUCAGAUGAGCCUAGGUCGGAUUAGCUAGUUGGUGGGGUAAUGGCUCACCAAGGCGACGAUCCGUAACUGGUCUGAGAGGAUGAUCAGUCACACUGGAACUGAGACACGGUCCAGACUCCUACGGGAGGCAGCAGUGGGGAAUAUUGGACAAUGGGCGAAAGCCUGAUCCAGCCAUGCCGCGUGUGUGAAGAAGGUCUUCGGAUUGUAAAGCACUUUAAGUUGGGAGGAAGGGCAGUAAGCGAAUACCUUGCUGUUUUGACGUUACCGACAGAAUAAGCACCGGCUAACUCUGUGCCAGCAGCCGCGGUAAUACAGAGGGUGCAAGCGUUAAUCGGAAUUACUGGGCGUAAAGCGCGCGUAGGUGGUUUGUUAAGUUGAAUGUGAAAGCCCCGGGCUCAACCUGGGAACUGCAUCCAAAACUGGCAAGCUAGAGUACGGUAGAGGGUGGUGGAAUUUCCUGUGUAGCGGUGAAAUGCGUAGAUAUAGGAAGGAACACCAGUGGCGAAGGCGACCACCUGGACUGAUACUGACACUGAGGUGCGAA